rnacentral:lncRNA from 13 species
AUGUCCCCGCCACCACAGACCGAGCAAUUCCCGCUCCCCAAUCCGCUCCAGAAUUUCAAGGGUUUGGAUGCCCUUGUGUCGUAUGUGUGUUUGGUUUUUUCCUCUCUUUUUCUGGCCAAACCCAGUUAUUGCACUUUAGCGAAACAUUUUGUUUCGGUGAAUCCAGCGCGGUAUAGGUCUGCCCGUAGCUCGGUGAAGAAACAUGGGGAUUUGAUUCUAUUUCCAACGGGACAGGAAUUGGAUCGUGUUGGUACAUCAGACAAUAGUUGUAUUUUAGGUGGUGUCUGUCUAAAAAUGAAGCACCCGAAGCUAUGGAGAGCGUUGCUUUUCAUGACGGUGUUGUACCAGUUUGGGACGUCAAGCAGAUACGACGGUCUCUUUGGGCAGUGCCGUACCUCUAAGCAGGACCAGGUGCAGUACCAGGUGUCAUUUCUUGUUUUGAAGAGGAUGCAGGAAGUCCUCAAGCAGCUCAUGCUACAGGGUGAGUCAACAGCCUAACACAACCACUGCAUGUGGUUGAAAUCUAGGGGCUCUAUUUUAAACAAACCAACAACAACAACAAAACAACAAAAAUAAGGUAAAUCUUAGCUCUAGGUCCGGGGGUGUGUCACAAAUAUUUGUGUUAUUUACAUAAUUAUGAGGCCCAAUAGCAGGCGGUGGUUCAAGAGGGCUGGGUUUUGAUUUAUAAACAAAUUGUUGGUGUGACGAGGCCUUGGCCACUCACUAGCCAAUCAACACAUCCAUUGUCUUAAUGUUGCAUGUUUAUCUCUGGUUCUGUAGGUUAUUGAUGGUCUUUGAGUUGUCAUCAACUCCAAUUCGGCUGUGUGCGCGGAAUAUUCUCGUCCUGGUCGACUGUGGAUUGAUAUUACAGUUUAUUAAAUAGCAUAGGCUACAGUAACAAGUGUUAGCAAAAGUUAAAAAAAAAACAUCCAGUGUUUGCUCAAUAGCCAAUAUUGUUGUAAUUGGUUUCAAUGAGCCUAGCCGAGCCUAGCCAAACCUUGCCGAACAUAGCGUAGCCGAACAUAGCCUAGCCGAACCUAGCCUAGCUGAGCUGAGCCUAGCCGAGUUGAGCUGAGCCUAGCCGAGCCGAGCUUAGCCGAGCUUAGCCGAGCCUAGCCGAGCCUAGCCGAGCCUAGCCGGCCUGAACCUAGCCGAGCCUAGCCGAACCUAGCCGAGCCUAGCCGGCCUGAACCUAGCCUAGCCUAGCCGAGCCUAGCCGAUCCUAGCGUAGCCAAACCUCACCGGCUCGAACCUAGCCUAGGCGAGCCGAGCUGAGCCUAGCCGAACCGAGCCUAGCCGAACCUAGACUACUUGUCUUUAAGUGUCGCACUUCUCCUAAAAUAAAAUAUACUUGUCAGCUUUGCAAGGCCAGGAUAAAAACGAAACAACGUAUUGCUGAACUAGCCUUCAUUAUAUUAGCCUUUGCCCAGAGGACGCAUAACAUUCGCACAUCUGUACAAAACACUGGGCUCCUGUCAAAUGUACCUAUGUGUGAGGCAGAUUAUUAUGUUUUUCUCAAUCUGCCGUAGAUAUGGUAUUAUAGGAGGACUGAAUAGUUUGAAGCGUGUCUUUUGAGGGUUUGGCCGGGGUAGGCAGUCAUUGGCCGUUUGGCCGGGGUAGGCAGUCAUUGGCCGUUUGGCCGGGGUAGGCAGUCAUUGGCCGUUUGGUCGGGGUAGGCAGUCAUUGGCCGUUUGGCCAGGGUAGGCAGUCAUUGGCCGUUUGGCCGGGCUAGGCAGUCAUUGGCCGUUUGGUCGGGGUAGGCAGUCAUUGGCCGUUUGGCCUGGGUAGGCAGUCAUNNNNNNNNNNGUGUGUGUGUGUGUGUGUGUGUGUGUGUGUGUGUGUGUGUGUGUGUGUGUGUGUGUGUGUGUGUGUGUGUGUUGAAGACAGUGUGUGCUGUGUUUUGAUGUGUUCUGCUGUGUGUUACAGACGGUCUCUUUGGGCAGUGCCGUACCUCUAAGCAGGACCAGGUGCAGUACCAGGUGUCAUUUCUUGUUUUGAAGAGGAUGCAGGAAGUCCUCAAGCAGCUCAUGCUACAGGGUGAGUCAACAGCCUAACACAACCACUGCAUGUGGUUGAAAUCUAGGGGCUCUAUUUUAAACAAACCAACAACAACAACAAAACAACAAAAAUAAGGUAAAUCUUAGCUCUAGGUCCGGGGGUGUGUCACAAAUAUUUGUGUUAUUUACAUAAUUAUGAGGCCCAAUAGCAGGCGGUGG